rnacentral:rRNA from 1 species
UUGGUAGCCGGCCUGAGAGGGCACACGGCCACACUGGCACUGAAACACGGGCCAGACUCCUACGGGAGGCAGCAGUGGGGAAUCUUGCACAAUGGGGGAAACCCUGAUGCAGCGACGCCGCGUGAGCGAUGAAGCCCUUCGGGGUGUAAAGCUCUUUCGUCAGGGAAGAUAGUGACGGUACCUGGAGAAGCAGCUGCGGCUAACUACGUGCCAGCAGCCGCGGUAAUACGUAGGCAGCAAGCGUUGUUCGGAGUUACUGGGCGUAAAGGGUGUGUAGGCGGUUCCUUAAGUUUGCUGUGAAAUCUCCCGGCUUAACCGGGAGGGUGCGGUGAAUACUGAGGGACUAGAGUACGGGAGAGGAAAGUGGAAUUCCUGGUGUAGCGGUGAAAUGCGUAGAUAUCAGGAGGAACACCGGUGGUGUAGACGGCUUUCUGGACCGUAACUGACGCUGAGACACGAAAGCGUGGGUAGCAAACAGGAUUAGAUACCCUGGUAGUCCACGCCCUAAACGAUGCAUAUUUGGUGUGGGCAGUUCAUUCUGUCCGUGCCGGAGCUAACGCGUUAAAUAUGCCGCCUGGGGAGUACAGUCGCAAGGCUGAAACUCAAAGGAAUUGACG